AAACCAGCACCUAAAGUGGUCAGGAUGAUUAUUGGGCCUAAAGCAUCCGUAGCCUGGUGCAUAAGUUUUCGGUUAAAUCCAUAUGCUCAACAUAUGGGCUGCCGGGAAUACUGUGCACCUAGGGAGUGGGAGAGGAAGACGGUACUCGGUAGGAAGGGGUAAAAUCCUUUGAUCUAUUGAUGACCACCUGUGGCGAAGGCGUCUAACGAGAACGGAUCCGACGGUGAGGAACGAAAGCCAGGGGAGCAAUCCGGAUUAGAUACCCGAGUAGUCC
rnacentral:rRNA from 1 species